rnacentral:rRNA from 1 species
GAUGAACGCUGGCGGCGUGCCUAAUACAUGCAAGUCGAGCGAAUGGAUUAAGAGCUUGCUCUAUGAAGUUAGCGGCGGACGGGUGAGUAACACGUGGGUAACCUGCCCAUAAGACUGGGAUAACUCCGGGAAACCGUGGCUAAUACCGGAUAACAUUUUGAACCGCAUGGUUCGAAAUUGAAAGGCGGCUUCGGCUGUCACUUAUGGAUGGACCCGCGUCGCAUUAGCUAGUUGGUGAGGUAACGGCUCACCAAGGCAACGAUGCGUAGCCGACCUGAGAGGGUGAUCGGCCACACUGGGACUGAGACACGGCCCAGACUCCUACGGGAGGCAGCAGUAGGGAAUCCUCCGCAAUGGACGAAAGUCUGACGGAGCAACGCCGCGUGAGUGAUGAAGGCUUUCGGGUCGUAAAACUCUGUUGUUAGGGAAGAACAAGUGCUAGUUGAAUAAGCUGGCACCUUGACGGUACCUAACCAGAAAGCCACGGCUAACUACGUGCCAGCCGCCGCAGUAA